GGAUUGCUCUUAGAUGAGAUCUCCAGCCGCCCAGCAAUGACCAACCUGGCUCACUUCCCCGGAGCCAGGCGGGACAGAGCUCGGCGCGGAGGGGGAUCUGGUCCAAGAGCAGCAGUCCU
rfam:Arthrobacter alpinus strain R3.8, complete genome.